UACCACUUAAGCACAGUUCUGAAUGGAGCCU
rnacentral:piRNA from 1 species